rnacentral:rRNA from 1 species
GACGAACGCUGGCGGCGUGCUUAACACAUGCAAGUCGAACGGUAAGGCUCCAGCUUGCUGGGGUACACGAGUGGCGAACGGGUGAGUAACACGUGGGUGACCUGCCCUGCACUUCGGGAUAAGCCUGGGAAGCUGGGUCUAAUACCGGUUAGGACCAUGGUGUGGAUACUGUGGUGGAAAGUUUUGUCGGUGUGGGAUGGGCCCGCGGCCUAUCAGCUUGUUGGUGGGGUAAUGGCCUACCAAGGCGGCGACGGGUAGCCGGCCUGAGAGGGUGGACGGCCACAUUGGGACUGACACACGGCCCAGACUCCUACGGGAGGCAGCAGUGGGGAAUAUUGCACAAUGGGCGGAAGCCUGAUGCAGCGACGCCGCGUGGGGGAUGACGGCCUUCGGGUUGUAAACUCCUUUCACCAUCGACGAAGGGUUUCUGACGUUAGAUGGAGAAGAAGCACCGGCUAACUACGUG